UAUGUAGGCGGAUAUUUAAGUCAGAUGUGAAAUACCCAGGCUUAACCUGGGAACUGCAUUUGAAACUGGAUAUCUAGAGUGCAGGAGAGGAAAGUGGAAUUCCUAGUGUAGCGGUGAAAUGCGUAGAGAUUAGGAAGAACACCAGUGGCGAAGGCGACUUUCUGGACUGUAACUGACGCUGAGAUACGAAAGCGUGGGGAGCAAACA
rnacentral:rRNA from 1 species